CGGCGCCGUGGGAGACGCUCCUGAUGCGCUCCGGGCUCAUCGCCUAUCCGCACGGGGCCGUGUGGGCCGGGUUCGUACCGCCCUGGCUGCUGGC
rnacentral:tRNA from 1 species